GGGGAUUUAGCUCAGCGGCACAACGCCUGCCUGGCAAGCGCGAGGUCGUGAGUUCCAUUCCUGGUACCGGAAAAAAAAAAAAACCAAAAAAAGUCUUUUUCUGUUUUUAUUUUUUGUUUGUCUGUUUUCUUUUUGAGACAGGGUCUCACUAUGUAGUUCAGACUGGCCUGGAACUCACUAUGCAGCCCAAGCUGGCCUCAAACUCGCAGCGAUCCUCCAGCCUCAGCCUCCCGGGGGCUAGGCUAACAGGCACGCACCACCACGCCCGGGUGAAAAUUUCUUUUUCUGUCUAAAACGGUCAAUAUAAAAUAGGAUCUAACAGGACAAAGCCAAAAUCUCACGUGAAACAUUCGUUUCUUUAAAAACAAAGAAGAGGGUCAAUUUAUUUAAGACAAGGUCUCUCUAGGUUGCCCAGGCUCGAGUGCUAUUUCCGACCCGCCUGCCUCAGCCUCCCGGGGCGCUAGGUUUCCAGGCUUGAAGAGCGGAAAGAUCGGGCGCGCCCCCAGCCCCAGCCGAGCGCACCCCAAGCCCCGCUCCUCCCCGCACCGACGCCCGCGGCCUCCCAGCCGCCCGCGCUGACAGGACCCGCCGCCUCGCGAACCCGGCCCCGCGCGCCAGGCCGCUCCCCGGAGGCGCCUCGGCGCCCCGGGCCAAACCCGCCCUUCCACAUCCCCUCUGCCCCCAGGCAGUCCCCAGGCCGCGGAACUCACAAAAGCCGGAGUGGCCCGCACGACUCGGAAGGUAACAAGUCUCUCAGGCUCGCCGAGGCAGGGCCGGAAGAGCGCGCCGGCCGCCGACGUCACUUCCGGCCGGGGCUCGGCCGGCGAGGGGCGGGGCGGGCCGGGGGCUCGGCGAGCUGCGCUGCGGCGCUCGGAGCCCCUGGCAGGAGUCCCAGCUUCCUCCCGCGGGAGUGCGGCGGAGUCCUGCCACCGGCUCGCAGCGGGGUCAGGUGGUCGAAGAAGGGGCAGAGGCCAGAACGGAGGAUGGCGAUCUCCCCUUCCCUAGUCAGCACGGAAGAAAUCAGCACACAAGGUCAGUUCAGGCAACGUUCGGCUGCGGGAACCACCGGUGACUCCAAAGGGAAAUCAGGUUUCGCUGUUGGAGUGGAAGCCUCUCUUUUCCCAGGGGAUGCCCGAGAUUAG
ensembl:lincRNA